rnacentral:rRNA from 1 species
UACGAAGGGGGCUAGCGUUGCUCGGAAUCACUGGGCGUAAAGGGUGCGUAGGCGGGUCUUUUAAGUCAGGGGUGAAAUCCUGGAGCUCAACUCCAGAACUGCCUUUGAUACUGAAGAUCUUGAGUUCGGGAGAGGUGAGUGGAACUGCGAGUGUAGAGGUGAAAUUCGUAGAUAUUCGCAAGAACACCAGUGGCGAAGGCGGCUCACUGGAUCGGUACUGACGCUGAGGCGCGAAAGCGUGGGGAGCAAACAGG